GAUGAACGCUGGCGGCGUGCCUAAUACAUGCAAGUCGAGCGAACGGACGAGAAGCUUGCUUCUCUGAUGUUAGCGGCGGACGGGUGAGUAACACGUGGAUAACCUACCUAUAAGACUGGGAUAACUUCGGGAAACCGGAGCUAAUACCGGAUAAUAUUUUGAACCGCAUGGUUCAAAAGUGAAAGACGGUCUUGCUGUCACUUAUAGAUGGAUCCGCGCUGCAUUAGCUAGUUGGUAAGGUAACGGCUUACCAAGGCAACGAUGCAUAGCCGACCUGAGAGGGUGAGCGGCCACACUGGAACUGAGACACGGUCCAGACUCCUACGGGAGGCAGCAGUAAGGAAUCUUGCGCAAUGGGCGAAAGCCUGACAGAGCAACGCCGCGUGAGUGAUGAAGGUCUUCGGAUCGUAAAACUCUGUUAUUAGGGAAGAACAUAUGUGUAAGUAACUGUGCACAUCUUGACGGUACCUAAUCAGAAAGCCACGGCUAACUACGUG
rnacentral:rRNA from 1 species